rnacentral:rRNA from 1 species
UUAAAGAUUAAGCCAUGCCAUGUCUAAGUGUAAGUAAUGCACAGCGAAACUGCGAAUGGCUCAUUAAAUCAGUUAUAGUUUACUUGGUUGUUGCUUUUACUACUUGGAUAACCGUAGUAAUUCUAGAGCUAAUACAUGCGAAAUAUCCUGACUCUCACGGGAAGGGAUGCACUUAUUAGAUACCAAACUGACCGGGGCAACCCGUCGUCGGUGAUUCAUAAUAAGCAAGCUAACCGUAUGGGCUCGUCCCGACGGUAGGCCAAUCAAGUUUCUGCCCUAUCAACUUUCGAUGGUAGUGUAUUGGACUACCAUGGUGAUAACGGGUAACGGGGAAUUAGGGUUCGGUUCCGGAGAGGGAGCCUGAGAGAUGGCUACCACUUCCAAGGAAGGCAGCAGGCGCGCAAAUUACCCAAUCCCAAUACGGGGAGGUAGUGACAAUAAAUAACGAUGCAGGUCUCCUUACGGGGACUUGCAAUCGGAAUGAGUACAAUUUAAAAAGCUUAACGAGGAACAAUUGGAGGGCAAGUCUGGUGCCAGCAGCCGCGGUAAUUCAAGGGCGAA